GGAAAAUACACCGAGCUUGCUCCGUAAAAUUGCAAUUUGGCCGGCGAACGAAACGGAGUGAGACAAUUAUAAGCAUGACAAAUGAAUUUCGCAUUGGGGCCGGUGUUCCGAGAGCCGAGAGUGCCGAGUGCCCAUGCCCAAGUUCCCAGGAAAACUGUCAGUGGAGGAUCAGUGGCGUUGAGACAGAUUCAAAAGAUUCGAAAGAUCGGGAGGAGCAUCGGAGCAUCGGUGGAUCGGGUCGCAGCUGUUGCCGCCGGGCACACACCUUCAACUCGUUGAGUUUUUGCAUCUCGACUUGUUUCACUCCGUUUCAGUUGGCUUCGGUUCGUGCGUGUUGCGUUUUAUAUGAAUAAUUGCAUCAAGAUUUUUGCCAACUCCUCUGCGGUCGAUUGCGGCAGCUGCCCCAACUGCACUGGACAUCGUUUCUGUGGCCGCUCAAGGUGAAUUUCAGUUGUGUCGACCGCAGACAACGUGACAGGCCCUCGACCACCAUGAAUAUGCGGACUGCUGGUGGAUCACAUUAAAGAGUGGGCCUUAAGCUGCGCAACAUAUUCAUA